AAUUAUCAUUUUCAAUGCAUGUUUUCUGGUUGUAUAAAAGCUUUCCCAUGCAAGAGGGGUGAUGAUAUUACAGUUAAUUAUUAUGCCACAGUGUAUUUUCUUCAGGUAAAAAAAGCUCUUUAUGGUUCACUGAGAACAUUCAACCCCUUUGCAAUCUAGAACUUGAAGACUGGAUCUUCUGCAAACAUCAUAGAAAGACUGCCCUUGCCAUCCGCACUGCAACAAAACCUUGGGACCUUGAAGCUUGCGACAUAAUCUCACAACUGAGAAGGCUCUCUCCACAUUCUUGGAACUGUAUACCCAUUGGAACCCUUAAGGUUCCUUGUAGAUUGUGGAUUUUGUCCCAAGAAUGGAGCUGUGCAGAUGCUCAGUGGCUGCUCGGGUUGCAGCCAGCAUCGGCAGGAUGAAGACUGCCCAAGACGACUGAGUACCCGGUGGAAGGGGCAGCUGACAUCAUGUCAGUUCCAGUUUGCCCUUUUCCCCUGCUGAGGCAGGAGACUUGGUGGUUUGGACUGGGAGGAAUUCCCCACAGCAUAGCACAGCGGCUGUGGCAAAUCGUGGCCAGAUUGCUUUUUUAGGUGGAAGCUGGAUCCAUUCCUCCUCACCAGGCGGGGCCUCCCUGCAGGAAUUUCAGCAUCUGCAGCAAGGAGUUUAUGGACAGAACUCUGAAAUCCCUGGGACAGAGCCACCAGAGGGCGGGGCAGCCAUGGUCUCUGGGGUCCAGCCAACUUGGUCCUUCCUGGCUGCUGGCUCUGAAGAAUACUCAGAGGAGGGGCAUUCCUCCCAGCUCAGCACACUUGUUCUUCCAUGGGGCUAGGGUGAUUCAUUAAAUGGAUCCCCGAUCCUGGGCCUCCUGACUUGGUGAGAUCCCCGCCCAACAGGGGCCAGCAGACAUCUUAUACAGGAGCGUUCCCACCGGCAUCAGGUCUGUGCGCCUCUGGGAUGGAGCUCCCAGAGGAAGGAACAGGCAGCCAUAUUUUCUGUUCUGCAGCCUCCACUGGUAACACCUCCAUGUGUGGGAGGGACCUAGGCAAAUAAUGUUUUGAAUGCAACCCCAGAAAACUACAGAAGCCCUACUGAAGAGCGGCCUGACUGAUAAAAGGAAAACAAACAAGCAGAAAGCAACAACAACAACAACAAACAAAAGACCCCACAAAACCCCACCGAAAGGUCAGCAGCCUCAAAGAUCAAAGGUAUAUAAGCUCAAAUACUCUUUCACUGAGCUAAAGGAGUAUGUUCUAACCCAAUGCAAAGAAGCUAAAAACCAUGAUAAAACAUUACAGGAGCUGUUAACCAGAAUAACCAAAUUAUAGAGGAACAUAAAUCACCUGAUGGAGCUGAAAAACACAACAUGAGAACUUAAGAAUGCAACCACAAGUAUCAAUAGCCAGCUGAAUAGACCAAGAGGAGAAAAGAAUCUCAGAGCUUGAAGACUAUCUUGCUGAAAUAAGACAGGCGGACAAGAUUAGAGAAAAAAAGGAUAAGAAGCAAUGAACAAAACCUCUGAGAACUAUGUGAUUAUGUAAAAAGAUUGCACCUAUGACUGAUUGGGGUACCUGAAAGAGACGGGGAGAACAGAACCAAUUGGAAAACAUACUUCACAAUAUCAUCCAGAACUUCCCCAAAAUAGCAAGACAUGCCAACAUUCAAAUUCAGCAAAUCCAGAGAACUGCAGGAAGAUACACCAUUAGAAGAUCAACCCCUAAGAAUGGGUAUUAUUAAAAGUAAAAAGAUAGAAAAAAAAUUGCUGGUGAAGUUGUGGAGAAAAAGGAACACUUAUACACUGUAAGAAUGUAAAUUAGUUCAACAAUUGUGGAAGAUCGUGUGAUGAUUCCUCAAAGACCUAAAGACAGCAACACAAUUUGAUCCAGCAAUCCCAUUACUGAGUGUAUACCAAAAGAAUAUAAAUUGUUUCAUUAUAGAGACACAUGAACAUGUUCAUUGCAGCACUAUUCACCAGAGCAAAGACAUGCAAUUAACCUAAAUGCCCAUCAGUGAUAGAAUGGAUAAGGAAAAAUGUGGUAUAUAUACACCAUGGAAUACUAUGCAGACAUAAAAAAGAAUGAGAUCAUGUCCUUUUCAGGGACAUGGAUGGAGCUGGGGGCCAUUAUUCUUAGCAAACUUAUUCAAGAACAGAAAAACAAAUAUUCAAUGUUCUCACUUAAAAACAGGAGCUAAAUGGUAAGAAUGAAUGGACACAUAGGAGGG
rnacentral:lncRNA from 10 species